AUUGAACGCUGGCGGCAUGCCUAAUACAUGCAAGUCGAACGAGAUCUUCGGAUCUAGUGGCGCACGGGUGCGUAACGCGUGGGAAUCUGCCCUUGGGUUCGGAAUAACAUCUGGAAACGGAUGCUAAUACCGGAUGAUGACGUAAGUCCAAAGAUUUAUCGCCCAAGGAUGAGCCCGCGUAGGAUUAGCUAGUUGGUGAGGUAAAGGCUCACCAAGGCGACGAUCCUUAGCUGGUCUGAGAGGAUGAUCAGCCACACUGGGACUGAGACACGGCCCAGACUCCUACGGGAGGCAGCAGUAGGGAAUAUUGGACAAUGGGGGCAACCCUGAUCCAACAAUGCCGCGUGAGUGAUGAAGGCCUUAGGGCUGUAAAGCUCUUUUACCCGGGACGAUAAUGACAGUACCGGGAGAAUAAGCCCCGGCUAACUCCGUGCCAGCAGCCGCCGUAAAAC
rnacentral:rRNA from 1 species